rnacentral:ncRNA from 2 species
UACGUAGGAUCCAAGCGUUGUCCGGAUUUACUGGGUGUAAAGGGUGCGCAGGCGGACCUGUUAGUCAGGGGUGAAAUCUCACAGCUUAACUGUGAAACUGCCUUUGAUACUGCAGGUCUUGGAUCCAGAAGAGAGUUGUGGAAUUCCGAGUGUAGCAGUGAAAUGUGUAGAUAUUCGGAAGAACACCAGUGGCGAAGGCAGCAACUUGGUCUGGUAUCGACGCUCAGGCACGAAAGCAUGGGGAUCAAACAGG